AGGCAGAGCCCAUAUCAGGAUGCUUUGGCACCAGGACAUUGUCAGGUUUGAAGGAGACUCCAGGAACUGCUGCAGCCAUCUGCCAGCCUAACAAGGAAACCAACUCAAAGCAGAGAGCAGUGGCCAAGGAAUUUCAGGAAAGCAGAGCCAGGAUAUGUUGUGGAUGGACCCUAAUCUACCCCUGAACUUCUCAUUACGUGAGGUACCCAAGGAGAGCGUCCUUUGUGCCAGGUACUGUGCCAACCAUCCUUGAAGGUUAACUCCUGAUCAUCCCAUGUGCUAAUGACACCCAACUCUCUGAAGUCCAGACCCCUCUCCCUUCAGAUUCACACUUGGACAUUCACAAGGUCCUGAAAUGAACCUGGGCCUCUUAUAGAACAAGGGCGGAAACCUACCUCCAGUUCCAUCUUUACGUGAGCACCCACCCUCGACAAUUUAUGGGAUUAUGCUGAAAAAUCAAUCUUUUACAAUUUCACCUAACAUCUGCCAGAGGAAACAAAAGAUUAUUAAAAGGGGACUUAUCAAAGUUCAUCUUCCAACAAAGUGGUUAGUUACCAUUUAAUUUAGCUAACAUUUUUUUGGGAACACUUACUGCAGUGCAGACACUGGUCUAAGUAAGCUUUUUAUAUGCAUCCUAUCAUUUAAUCUUCACAAAAUUCCUGUGAGGUAGGUACUGUUAUUAUCCCCAUCUUACACUUAAAAAUCUCGAGGCUUAGAUGGAUUAACUCCAGGGUCACACGGCUAGCAAGUGGCAGGGCUCUGGUUAAAACCCACGUCUGUCUAACGUUCAAGAUUUUGCUUUCGGCAUUCCUUUGAAAAAGA